rnacentral:rRNA from 1 species
CACGUAGGGGCCAAGCGUUGUCCGGAUUUAUUGGGCGUAAAGAGCUCGUAGGCGGUUGGGUAAGUCGGGUGUGAAAACUCCGGGCUCAACUCGGAGACGCCACCCGAUACUGCUCUGACUUGAGUCCGGUAGGGGAGUGGGGAAUUCCUGGUGUAGCGGUGAAAUGCGUAGAUAUCUGGAGGAACACCGGUGGCGAAGGCGGCAUCCUGGACCGAUACUGACGCUGAGGAGCGAAAGCCAGGGGAGCAAACGGG